AAGUAGGGGAUCGUAAGACCUUGCGCUUAUGGAGCGGCCGAUGCCUGAUUAGCUAGUUGGUGGGGUAAUGGCUUACCAAGGCUACGAUCAGUAGUUGGUCUGAGAGGACGACCAGCCACACUGGGACUGAGACACGGCCCAGACUCCUACGGGAGGCAGCAGUGGGGAAUUUUGGACAAUGGGCGAAAGCCUGAUCCAGCAAUGCCGCGUGAGUGAAGAAGGCCUUCGGGUUGUAAAGCUCUUUCAGUCGAGAAGAAAAGGUUGUGACUAAUAAUCACAAUUUAUGACGGUAUCGACAGAAGAAGCACCGGCUAACUACGUGCCAGCAGCCGCGGUAAUACGUAGGGUGCAAGCGUUAAUCGGAAUUACUGGGCGUAAAGGGUGCGCAGGCGGCUUUGUAAGUCAGAUGUGAAAUCCCCGGGCUUAACCUGGGAAUUGCGUUUGAAACUACAAAGCUUAGA
rnacentral:rRNA from 1 species